CUUUGCAAAUUGACCUGCCAUUCUACCCACCUUGAUUACAGGCAUUUGACCACCAAACAUAAGCACAACGCCCAUCUGCAAGAUGACUCUGAAAGUGUCCCUAAUGUUAUUAGCACUAAAUUCCUUAAAGCUCUCAGCACAAUCACCACCCUGCAACAAGAAAGCAUUCCCAAGAGCAGCUUCGCCCAAUUUCUCUUCAAGAUUCCGAGCUUCCCCAGCAAAUACAAUUGGGGGAUACGUCGAAAGGGUCUCGAGAACUGAUUCCAGCUUUACCUUAUCAGGGUAUUCAGGGAGCUGAGAAGCCGGCUUCGAUUUCCAGCUUUCGAGACUCCAUUUUCCUUCUGGGUUUUGAGCAGUUUUUGCUGUUGUUGAGGGUGGAGAUUGAACGGCUGAGAUGGGUUUGAUUCUUGGUUUGAUUUUGGAGUUUGACGGGAUUGUUAUUUUGGGAAAGGAAGUGAAGGAGAUGGUGAUGUUGAAGGUGAAGUAGAAGGGCAAGGGGAAGCUGAGAUGGAGAGUGAAGGUGAAAUGCAAGAAGUUGAUCCUGGGCAUGGAGAGAGUGAGGGUGAAAGAGAUCAGAGUUCUCAGGAAAUAGAGGUUGGUGAUCAGAGGGCACAAAGUGAAGGAAGAGAGUCAGAGAGUGAUGAAAAAGAAGAAUAUGGUCAAAGAGUAGUGACUAGUAGGAGGCGGGAUGUAAUUGACAGUGAGUCAGAAAGAUCUGAGGAAAACCACUACGGUGACAAUGAAGACGAGGAAGUAAAUCAAGCAAGAAGUCCAAGUAGAUCUCCUGGGGAAGAGAAAGAUGAGGCCCACUUAUCCUCUGCUCCGGAGAUUCGUGAUGUGUUUGGGGAUUCAGAGGAUGAAGAAGAGGCUGAUUAUGUCGUUCGGAAUAAAAUUGAUGAGGAGCAAAAUUUAAUGGAUGAAGAAACUAGCUACGGCAAAUUGCAGCAAGAAGAUAUAAUACCUGAAGAUGAUGGUGGAUACGAGUCUGAAGAAGAGCAUGUGGAAUCUAAAAUUAAGGAAAAACCAGUUGGGCCCCCAUUAGAGCUGGAGAUCCCAUUGCGUCCACCACCAACUUAUUCAGAUAACAUGAGCAUGAUCAAGGUUUCUAACAUAAUGGGCAUUGAUCCCAAGCCCUUUGAUCCAGAGACAUACGUUGAAGAAGAUGCUUUCGUGACUGAUGAAUCUGGAUCCAAGAAGCGCCUCAGCUUAGUUAACAACAUUGUUCGAUGGAGGAAAGUUAGGAAGCCUGAUGGCACGACAACUGUAGAAAGCAAUGCUCGCUUUGUGGAAUGGUCUGAUGGCAGUGUGCAAUUAAUGAUCGGAAAUGAAGUUCUGGACAUAUCUACCCAAGAUGCGCAGCAAGAUCAUUCACACCUGUUUCUUAGACAUGGAAAGGGAAUACUACAAUCACAAGGGAGAAUUUUAAACAAGAUGAGGUUUAUGCCUUCAUCAUUGACAUCAAACUCGCACCGUUUAUUGACUGCCCUUGUUGAUUCACGUCAUAAGAAAGUUUACAAAGUGAAGAACUGUUUCACCGACAUUGACCCUGAGAGGGAGAAAGAGCAAAAGGAGAAGGCUGAAAGCCAAACAAUCAGGGCAGGUGUACUCCUCAAUCGGAAAAAGGAGAAGGUCAGCCGAAAAUACAUGCCUACGUUACGUAGGGAGCGCCAACUCUCUCCUGGUUUCUUGGAGGAUGGGCCUGAGGAGGAAGAGGAUACUGAUUACUAUGACUCUCGACGGUCUGCUGCUCGCCGUCGCUUUGAUGAAGACUUAGAAAUGGAAGCUCAAGCUGAGAAACGAAUCAUUAAUGCAAAGAAGAAAGAUAUUCCUAGGCAAACAUCAUUGUCUGCUCCAAAGCAUUCUCGACGCCCUGUUGAUUUUGAUGACAGCGAGAAGGAGGAGUCUGAGUAUGAAACCGAAGAGGAAGAAGAGGAGGAAGAGAGGUCUCCACCACGUAGAAGGGCUGUCCAGGAGGAGCCGGAAUAUGAAGAAGAGCAAGAGCGUGAUCAGGGUGAGGAGGAAGAAGCAUAUGAUGAAGAGUCGGAACAGGAGGAGGAGCCGAAGCAAAAUUUAAGGGAACCAGCAUCGAGUCACAAGCGGAAAGGGAUUGAGUCAGAUGAAGAAUCUCCUCCUAGGAAGAUUCCAGCUGCUCAUCGCAGAAUGGCAAUUGUUUAUGACAGCGAUGAGGAUUAAAAUCUAAUGGCGUGGAACUUAGACAAGUUUGCAUUUGCCUAGCAAAUUUGCACAGGAGAUUGUCAUAGGAUGGAAUGGGACGUUCGAAAGCCUGGGAUUUGAAAAGAGGCAUCAAGAGCCUGAAUGUUGUUCAGUUAUACAUCACCGACCAACCUUAGAUUUAUACUUUCAGAUAUCUUUCUCAUACUGAAUUUGGCAAUGAGCCUAGCAGAACUGGUGUUACCUUUUUCUUCCCUUUCGUAUGAAUUGUUGUUUAAGAUGGAUAGCCUGGGUUUUUU
rnacentral:misc_RNA from 1 species